GAAGCUGAUGCCAAACACUCGUAGUGCGCGUCUGACGCUGCGUGACUGAUACAAGACGAUGCGGAGCCGGGAAGACAUCCCGCGCCUCUUUGCUGACCA
rnacentral:sRNA from 2 species